AAUAUAAAUUAUACUUAACCCUUUCGUACUAAAGUAAAAUAUUUUUAUAAGAAGAUAGAAACCAAUCUGGCUUACGCCGAUUUGAACUCAAAUCAUGUAAAAAUUUAAAGGUUGAACAAACCUUCUUCUGUACCUUUUGCCUCACAGAGAUAUUUUAAUUCAACAUCGAGGUCGCAAUCACCCCCAUAGAUAGGAUCUCUCCGAGUGUAUUACGCUGUUAUCCCUAAAGUAACUUAAACUAAUUUUCCUUAUUUAAAGGACCUUUAUACCGAAUAUUCGUAUAAUAAAACAAUAAAAUAUUUAAAGCAACUACCCCAGUUAAACCUAAUAAACUAAAGUUUUUAAUAAAAAAUGCCUUUUAGAUUAAAAGAUAAAGAUUUUAGGGUCUUGUCGUCCCUCUUAAAGAUUUAAGUAUUUUUACUUAAACUAGAAAUUAAUUAUAUCUAAACUAUAUAAAUUUAUUUGUUAAACCUUUCAUGCCUGUUUCCAAUUAAGAAACAAAUUAUUAUGCUACCUUAGCACAGUCAAAAUACUGCAGCCGUUUAAUACCUCACUGGGCAGGCCCUACUUUUUAUCUAAAAAGAAAUGUUUUUGUUAAACUAUC
rnacentral:rRNA from 1 species